CUGGCGUCAGGAUGAACGCUAGCGGCAGGCUUAACACAUGCAAGUCGAGGGGCAGCGGGAUGUAGCAAUACAUUGCCGGCGACCGGCGGAUGGGUGCGUAACGCGUAUGCAACCUACCUUAUACAGGGGAAUAACCUUUCGAAAGGGAGACUAACACCCCAUAGUAUUGAUUUAAGGCAUCUUAGAUUAAUUAAAUAUUUAUAGGUAUAAGAUGGGCAUGCGUAUGAUUAGCUAGUUGGUAAGGUAACGGCUUACCAAGGCGACGAUCAUUAGGGGUUCUGAGAGGAAGGUCCCCCACACUGGUACUGAGACACGGACCAGACUCCUACGGGAGGCAGCAGUGAGGAAUAUUGGUCAAUGGGCGCAAGCCUGAACCAGCCAUGCCGCGUGCCAGGAAGACGGCCUUAUGGGUUGUAAACUGCUUUUACAUAAGACUAACCGUAUAUUUGCGAAUAUACCUGAAUGUAUUAUGAGAAUAAGGAUCGGCUAACUCCGUGCCAGCAGCCGC
rnacentral:rRNA from 1 species